rnacentral:misc_RNA from 1 species
GAUGAAGAACGCAGCGAAAUGCGAUAAGUAAUGUGAAUUGCAGAAUUUAGUGAAUCAUCGAAUCUUUGAACGCACAUUGCGCCCAUUAGUAUUCUAGUGGGCAUGCCUGUUCGAGCGUCAUUUCGACCCUCAAGCCUCAGUUGCUUGGUUUUGGGAGCCUAUCUUCGGAUAGCUCCUCAAAUAGAGUGGCGGAGUCGUGCUGACCCCAAGCGUAGUAAUUUUUUCUCGCUUUAGGUGCCGGUGCUGACGUCCUGCCGUGAAACCCCCUAUUUUAAAAGGUUGACCUCGGAUCAGGUAGGAAUACCCGCUGAACUUAAGCAUAUCAAUAAGCGGAGGA